rnacentral:lncRNA from 1 species
GUCACAAUGUAUAAAAAGUUAACAGUUAUAGGUCAAAGUACGGCCUUCAACACGGAACUUCUAUUACUGUUUGUUAAAUUAAAUUUUUCAAAAAAUUGUGCAGAAUUUGCUUAACUUUUCAACUGAUUGCUCAUAGAGCAAAAAAAAUGCAUUAAAUACAGGUUUAUUUCCUCAAAACUGCGUGUUUUUGGCUCAUAAUUAUAACCAGC